rnacentral:rRNA from 1 species
AUACGGAGGAUGCGAGCGUUAUCCGGAUUUAUUAGGUUUAAAGGGUGUGUAGGCGGUAUUUUAAGUCAGUGGUGAAAUCUCGGAGCUUAACUUCGAAACUGCCAUUGAUACUGGAAUACUUGAGUAUAGUUGAGGUAGGCGGAAUAUGUAAUGUAGCGGUGAAAUGCAUAGAUAUUACAUAGAACACCGAUUGCGAAAGCAGCUUACUAAACUAUUACUGACGCUGAUGCACGAAAGCGUGGGGAGCGAACGGGAUUAGAAACCCCAGUAGUCC